UACGUAGGGGGCAAGCGUUGUCCGGAUUUAUUGGGCGUAAAGAGCGUGUAGGCGGCUUUACAGGUCCGUUGUGAAAACUCGAGGCUCAACCUCGAGACGCCGGUGGAAACCGUAAAGCUAGAGUCCGGAAGAGGAGAGUGGAAUUCCUGGUGUAGCGGUGAAAUGCUUAGAGAUUACAUGGAAUACCAAUUGCGAAGGCAGGUUACUACUAAUUGAUUGACGCUGAUGGACGAAAGCGUGGGGAGCGAACAGG
rnacentral:rRNA from 1 species